GACGUAGGGCGCGAGCGUUGUCCGGAUUUAUUGGGCGUAAAGAGCUCGUAGGCGGCUCGUUGCGUCAACCGUGAAAACCCGGGGCUUAACUUCGGGCUUGCGGUUGAUACGGGCGGGCUGGAGUUCGGUAGGGGAGACUGGAAUUCCUGGUGUAGCGGUGAAAUGCGCAGAUAUCAGGAAGAACACCCGUGGCGAAGGCGGCUCUCUGGAACGCAACUGACGCUGAGACGCGAAAGCGUGGGGAGCAAACAGG
rnacentral:rRNA from 1 species